CCCGCGCUCCCGUACAACGUGUCUCUGUUUGUGUUAUUUUGUUCCAUUACAAUAUUCUUUAUUAUCUAGAUAAUACUAUUCUUCAUAUUUAUUUGGUGCAGUGUAUUUGUUUCAUACGCAUACGUCUCGUGCUUACUUGUGUCAUAUGAUGUAGCUCAUCUCUUUUGAUCAUCGUCCCCUUAUACACGUGCCACCGCGUCUAGGAUAACUCGAGAGUUGUUGUUGUUGUUUUUUUUUUUUUUAUCUUUCGCUGAAAGUGCGCGCAUCUCAUCGCUCGUUCCUUAACCGAUCUUUGGUCGAUCGUGUGCUUUAUAUAUAUAUAUAUAAUAUAUCUGUGGUGGUUGUGCGUCGUUGUUGUCACAUGACAGAGGACAGCGAGGACCGGCGCAUGAGAGCUCGCGGAGCAUCUUGAUCCAGGCUUCUUCGCUCGCCGGAGCUGCCUCGGCAUGAAUCCCAAGGAUGUGUACGUCGUCGAGGGUAUCACUUUAUCCACGGCAGCUGAAGAUGUGGGAAAUGGAAUCGAGUUGCCGGAAAACGACACGAAUUCCUUGGAAUCACU